rnacentral:rRNA from 1 species
CCCGUACACAAAAGCGCAUGUGCUGUGAGCUCGAUGAGUAGGGCGGGACACGUGGUAUCCUGUCUGAAUAUGGGGGGACCAUCCUCCAAGGCUAAAUACUCCUGACUGACCGAUAGUGAACCAGUACCGUGAGGGAAAGGCGAAAAGAACCCCGGCGAGGGGAGUGAAAAAGAACCUGAAACCGUGUACGUACAAGCAGUGGGAGCACAGGUUUACCUGUGUGACUGCGUACCUUUUGUAUAAUGGGUCAGCGACUUAU